rfam:Gossypium arboreum cultivar AKA8401 contig_42218_1, whole genome shotgun sequence.
AAUCCAUGGUGGGGGCACCUUCUCAAUAGAUCUUUGUGUCUUUGCCAUGCAUCAUAGAGUGUUUCUAGAUCCAUCUGCACAAAAUAAGAGAUGUCAUUCCUCAACUU